rnacentral:rRNA from 1 species
GACAGCAGUCGCCGCGGGAAUACGAGGGGAGCUAGCGUUGUUCGGAAUUACUGGGCGUAAAGCGCGCGUAGGCGGCUUUUUAAGUCAGAGGUGAAAGCCCGGGGCUCAACCCCGGAAUUGCCUUUGAAACUGGAAAGCUAGAAUCUUGGAGAGGUCAGUGGAAUUCCGAGUGUAGAGGUGAAAUUCGUAGAUAUUCGGAAGAACACCAGUGGCGAAGGCGACUGACUGGACAGGUAUUGACGCUGAGGUGCGAAAGCGUGGGGAGCAAACAGGAUUAGAUACCCGGGUAGUCCCUGUCUCUUAUAC